UUUACUUGUAAAAGUAAACAGCUUUUAUUAUUAGAAAUCAGACAUUUCAAAGACUGUUAAUGAGAAUUCAUUUGAUGCAUUAAAAAAAGAUUUUCUUUUUGCAAAUAUAGGGCUAACAUCAUUUGAAUAUACCCAUUAUCAUUAUUUUUGAUGUAGAAUUUUUUUAGAACAACUGAAAUGAAAAGAGCUUUGAAAAUGUGACUAAAUUUUGUCAGGAACUCAUAGCAUAGCUCCAUCUCCAUUAUAAUUGUAAUCAUCCAUCACAGACAGGCGAAACCUGCUCAUCCCCCCACACUACAAAAUGUCAGCUCUGCAAACAAAUAUGAGACUGGAAGUAUAUUUUCUGAAGAACGUUAUAGAUCAAAAUGUAUGUAUAUUUUGUCAAAAGACAACAAUUAUGAAAAAAAUUGUGUUAAAAAAUUUUGAAAAAAAAAUUAAAAAAGAAAGAAAAAAUAUUUAAAAAAAAAUGUAGAUUAGAUUGAAUUUCAUAAAUAUAUAUGUGUACUUUAAAGUGUUAUGUGAUUUUGUUUUGUGAAGUGCUUGCAUGUAUACAUUUGUUUAUCAUGUACUCUUUUAUAUGUCACUGCUCUCAAAUUCCUGCCAUUUUGGUUAUGUUUUAGCUACAAGUACAAUGUAUACGCUUUUUUGAAGUUGGACACGGUGGUAUUCUAAUUCUAUUCUAGAUUUUCCUGACUUUCAAUUCAGACUAUUUAGAUCUCGGAGUUUGAUUUAUCCAAUCUGUCCAAAGAUAUUUACCUUUUUAUAACAAAUAAUUUUUUUAUCACCAAUAUGCCUGGCUCUGGACAUUUGCCAUAGUUACUUUCGUUAAAUUUUUGAUAGACCAUUUUCUGACAAAAUUUCGUUUAUUAUUUGAGGUUUUGUUCAGUGUGGUCAAACUUACUGCUUGGUGAAGCAGAAGUAGAGUAUGGAAUGUCAGAGACAGGUCUUGUUAUGAUGGAUACCACAGUACUUGGAAUCUACCAAACAUCGAGUAACAGCGACCGUGAUUGGUCAUUUAUGCAGAUGUUACAUCUGUAUUGAUUGGAUUUCUAUGGAAUGUUAUAUACAACAGAUCUUGUGAUUGGUGAUUUCAUCAGGUUAUCAGUUAUUUGUGAUUGAUUGGUAAAUUUAUGAAGGGUUAUUAGAAAACAUUUAUUUUUAUCUGUAUCCAUGUCCUUCACACAAAGGCAUUAAACUUCUUCAGUUCUUUGUUAAGAUUUCAAAGAUUUUGCAGAAGAAAAGAAUUGUUUAUCAUUAAAAUACUUCUCUUUGCUUUGACUCUGCCUUAACAGUGCUUUUAAACACAAUUAGGACCCCUCGUAUUGAGCAGGACUCAAUCAAGGUUUGGGAGAAAAGAAAUUUUUAUUCAGAGGCCUGUUUUAUUUCCCCACCAGUUAAUUUGUGUUUGUUGACAUUAUUACUCUUUUGUCUAUACACAUAUAUACACUCACUAUCUUGUUGUGUCAAAUUCAUUAUUCUAUCAUACUCUUUUUUCAAGAGGAAAUGUGUCAUUGUUGUUUUAAUCUAUAUCAUCUGUAUACAGUUCAUUGUAAUUAACUCACUGUAGUACAAUAAAAUACAAAAUUAC
rnacentral:misc_RNA from 1 species